GUGCUCACUCUGGCAGCACAUAUACUAAAGUUGGAAUGACACAGAGAUUAGCAUGGCCCCUGCAUAACGAUGACACACAAAUUCGUGAAACAUUCCAUUAAAAA